CGUGUAGGCGGUUGGUCAAGUCGGGUGUGAAAGCCCGAGGCUCAGCCUCGGAAGUGCAUCCGAAACUAGCCAGCUAGAGCGCGAUAGAGGAGGGUGGAAUUCCUGGUGUAGCGGUGAAAUGCGUAGAUAUCAGGAGGAACACCGGCGGCGAAGGCGGCCCUCUGGAUCGUUGCUGACGCUGAGACGCGAAAGCGUGGGGAGCAAACAGGAUUAGAUACCCUGGUAGUCCACGCCUUAAACGAUGGGUACUAGGUGUUCGGGGUGUUGACCCCCUGAGUGCCGCAGUUAACGCAUUAAGUACCCCGCCUGGGGACUACGGCCGCAAGGUUAAA
rnacentral:rRNA from 1 species